rnacentral:lncRNA from 1 species
UGCGCGUAAAAGUUGAAGAAAACUACGAGAAAAAUAACACAACCUUGAUAUAUAUGCACCCAAUGCCCGGAUAAGAUCAUAUCGAUGAUAUAUACAUAUAUUCAGCUUAUCUGUAUUUUUAUUCUCCAAGCAUUCUGCAUAUUUCUUGCUAACUCACCACACACACAUAUAUUUUGGUGAUAAACUAAUCACAGAACUAUACAGAUUAACACCAUCUUAACUCGUACUACUGGCUAAUUAGUAGUACUAAUUUAUUACUACAACCUCUUUUUAAUCACCGGUCAGUAGCUAGCGCGUGGACGUCGAUCAGUAGCGCUUCCUCCAGUACUCCUCGCUCGCCACGCGCUCGCGCCGGAGCCGCUCCUG